AGACCUACUGAGCGGUCACAACCAUACAAGGGGGCAGAGGCAGGGGGUUGCAAAAACCCACUCGGUGGGCAUUUAUUUUCAGUGCACAAUUCACACCAACAAUAAACCACCAGGUACACAGCCACAUGGAAAGGACAGAACAACCCCCAAGGGACAAAGAACCCACUUAAAUAUCCUCCCCAAUUGGGUUCUAUCAAGUAGAGGGGUGCUACACAUACAAAUGCUCUAAAAAUCAGCCUAAAGACCAAAACACGUGUUAAGAUUAUUUAUCCCCCAGUUUUAUUUAUGCCCUCAUUCCCUUACAGUACAUUUACCCAAUCUAAACAAUCUAAAAAGGACAUAAAAGAAACUAACCCUCGGGCACUAACCACCCCCUAUACCUAUCUCCUGGUGGAACCCUCCCCACACAAUAAAGAGGCUGUUGUUUCCCAGGGGACUCUUUUGCGCGUGCAUACAGUGAGUGGAGACAGAGCGGUACAGGUGGUAUGGCCAAUUAACGCUCCCGGCAACCAGACACACACCGACUACCUGCGGGGGACAACACACACAUGAUUACUGGCAGAAUACAAUAAAGAACUUGGCACAA